UCCCUGGUGGUCCAGUGGCUAAGACGGUGUGCUCCCAAUGCGGGGGCCCAGGUUCAGUCCCUGGUCAGGGAA
rnacentral:tRNA from 1 species